ensembl:snoRNA
UGCCUUUAUGUGUUGCCCUUUCAGUGUUUCCAUCAUGAAACGGGUGUCAGCUAAGGCAAACAGAGACUCUUGUGGUUUUCUUUGGGGGAAGCUGCAAGUGCUUCUUCUGACAGGAAUAAUUACAAGAACACGU